GCUCAGUAAUAUGGGACUAUAACCCAAGUGGGAGCAACAAUAUGGUGGAAUAUUGGGCUUCUCCACAAAGGUAAAGGCCUGGUGGGCUUAUAUCUGGCCUACCUUGUCCAAAUACAUAGUGUGCCUAGUGGCCCAAUUGAAGGAAUGGGCUGCUGGACUCCUAAAGAGUUUCUCGAUGAUACAUUUCUGUCGAUAUUUUAUAACGAUAAUGUAUUUAGUAUUGAAUUAUUUCUCGAUUAGAUGCUUCUGACUCAUAUCGCCAUUUCU
rnacentral:SRP_RNA from 1 species